GGUGAACGCUGGCGGCGUGCUUAAGACAUGCAAGUCGAACGCAGUCUUCGGACUGAGUGGCGCACGGGUGAGUAACACGUAACUGACCUACCCCCAAGUCGCGGAUAACUGGCCGAAAGGUCAGCUAAUACGUGAUGUGAUGUCCCCUUUCUGGGGGGCCAUUAAAGGUUUACUGCUUGGGGAUGGGGUUGCGUUCCAUCAGCUAGUUGGCGGGGUAAAGGCCCACCAAGGCAACGACGGAUAGCCGGCCUGAGAGGGUGGCCGGCCACAGGGGCACUGAGACACGGGUCCCACUCCUACGGGAGGCAGCUGUUAGGAAUCUUCCACAAUGGGCGAAAGCCUGAUGGAGCGACGCCGCGUGAGGGAUGAGGGUUCUCGGAUCGUAAACCUCUGAAUCAGGGACGAAAGACGCGUAAGCGGGAUGACGGUACCUGAGUAAUAGCACCGGCUAACUCCGUGCCAGCAGCCGCCGUAA
rnacentral:rRNA from 1 species